UCUUACCUUGUAUUUCCUCGGAGAACCGUAUGCGUUAGCGUCGAUAAGCUAAAUAGCGCUGGCAUUGGUCGGAGACAUUUGUAGCUUCAUUCUCGUCGGGCGCCAUGAGAAUCUCCUCACUUCCUGUUCGCCUGACCGGGUCUUAUUUAUUGUGUUUGUUUGAACUGGGGAGAAUCGUCGACACUAACUGCUCCCUCCACCUUCUCCAGGAUGUUGGGGAGGCCGAGCUUCUCUAUGCUGCGGGGGCCCAGAACAUUCUGUCCUGAAUAAACCCAGAAUUGGCGCCCUGGAAAGACACCCUACUGCUUGUUAAGUUGUCACUAUGGAUUUGCAUGUGCCUUGUACAAUGCAUGAAGCUCACUUACCAGAGAAGAAGUACAAUUUCUUGGUGAGAAUGUCUUCAAAGGCAGCAUCAAUGACUGCUGGCAGUGCUGGCCAAUGCUCAGAAAUUCUGAACGCACCUUUGACCUCCCCGUUAUCGCUGGUGGAUUUCUUCCAGUAAUACCUAAUGACAGAACAUCACUAUAUUUGACUUCCUUGUUUCUUGUCUUAUCAGUCUUUAAUCAGUCAGUUUUUCUCUUACCCGCCACUAAAGAAGUAUAGAUUGUUACUGAUAACAGUGAUGGUGUCAAAUUUGUUAACUUUGCAGGCAUCAUUGGUUGGAUCCACAGGUUUUAGGGUGGUAGUGGGUUCAUGUUCAAAUGGUGUUGUGGUAGGUGUGUCAGUCGGAGGUAUCGGGUCUGGGCCUUCUCUGCGUCCUGAACAAAGUAUUUAUAUUUAGAUCUUUGGAGAUAAUACAGGAUUCAUUCAUUCAUUUUCUACCGCUUAUCCUCACGUGGGGGGAUCAUGGGGGCGCUGGAGCCUAUCCCAGCUAUCUUUGGGCGAGAGGUGGGUUACACCCUAGACUGGUCGCCAGCCAAUCCCAGGCACAUAUAGACAAACAACCAUUCCCACCCCACUCACAUUCAUACCCAUGGACAAUUUGUAGUCGCCAAUUAACCUAGCAUGCAUGUUUUUGGAAUGUGGGAGAAAGCCGGAGUCCCCGGAGAAAACCCACGCAUGCACGGGGAGAACAUGCAAACUCCACAUGGGAUUGAACUCCGGUCUCCUAGCUGUGUGGCCUGCAUGCUAUCCACUCAUCCGUCGUGCUAAUGCAGAAUUGUGUGUGAUAAAGGUUUUUGAAGGAUUUUUUUGCGUCAUACCAUAUAGAUACUGAAUGCCUGCAAUAUCGUCUCUAUGCAGGGAGAAGUUCUCCAUAUAGCUGUACAUGGGGUACAUCAGUGCAUCUCGAAUAUUGGAGUGAUCCAGACCGAGGGCGUGUCCAAACUCAUGCGCGGCCACCAAGAAGAGGCUAUAACCUGCAUCACAAUCAGAUCCUUAAUGAAUAAGCAGGUCAAAUAACUUAACACUUUGAUUUGUCUUUUAAUUCUCACCGUCAUCACGACAGAAGCCCCAUUUGUUGUCCUCAUCAUAGCUGCUGGUGGUAGCACACCACAGUUUGCCAUCAUUGCGACCCUCACUGGUGCACGAAUCGUACCGCUGACCCAGGAAAGUGAAUGGGAAGUGGCACGGCUCUCCUUCAGAAUUUCCACCAGAUACAGCAGUGUCUGAUCAGACAAAGACAUGAGAUGAGCAGCAGAGGGAGACAAACGCUACCUGGUCCUUUUCCCAGCGUCCAGUUUUCGUCAUCAUCAAAGUGGGCAUCCCCUUGGAGUCCCUCACCGGGUGGAUAUGCAUGGGCCAAAAGACCAUCCUUUCCAUCAAACGGGUACGGGUCUCCAUGGUCUGAAAAAUACCAUCAAGCAGUGUAGAUGACACAAAUAUAAAGGGAACGUCAUUAUGGCCGCACGGUGGAUGAGUGCUUAGAAUGUAGGCCACACAGUCAGGAGAUUGGGAAGACCUGGCUUCGAUUCUCCACUUGGGCAUCUCUGUGUGGAGUUUGCAUGUUCUCCCCGUGCGUGUGUUUUCUCCGGGUACUCCGGUGUCCGCCCACAUUCUAAAAACUUGCACGUUAGCUUCAUUUGUGACUCUAAAUUGUCCAUAGGUAUGAAUGUGAGUGUGAAUGGUUGUUAGCCCCAAAGUCAGCUGGGAUAGGCUCCAGCAUAGCCCCACUACCCUACUGAGUAUAAGCGCCAUAGAAAAUGGAUGGAUGGAACGUCAUAAUGACAUCAGUGUGAUGAAAAAUAGACUAGACGACAUUCUGAAAACACAUACCGCCUUUUCCAAAGGAUAUCAUGAUAUCCGCCGUCCCUUCAAAGAGGCGGGUAAACGUCAAAGGCGUCACAUCACUCCACACCUUCAAAGCUCUGGCAAAAGCAUCAUCAGUCAGAGAGAUGUCCAAGUCUGGAGAGUAGUUGACAAUCCUGUGGAGGAGAGCGCCAUAGCAUAGCAUAGCCAUAGGCAUAGCCUUGUUAAAUAUUUUGUUUCUCUGACAAAUAUGGCUUAUGCACACAGUAAUCUUUACUCGCCUGUAUGUGACAUCAUUAUGUUGCCAUUUAAGGUCUCCCUCGAAUGUUUUAUAGUUGGCCACAUCAGGCACCCCACAGCGAGGCCGCUUCAUUAUCUCCAAAGUUGCUGAAUCCAGCUCACCCGUCUCCUCCAGACCCAUCUGUUUCUGCAUCUUCUUCAGAGCCUUGGAGGUGGACACCAUAGACUGGAAACCGCUGCGUUGCAAGAUCUCCAUGUAGCCAAACUUCUUCAGGUAACUCUGCACAUCAGAAAUAACUUUAGGUUGAAGACAAUCAGUCAUCUCUUUACAACAUUUAGUUUGGACAGAAAGUAAAUCCACACCCCCACUGUAAUCAAGCACACAAUCUUUCUUUUUUGACACCCGGUAAUUACUUCUCUGGGCAGCUAUGACACUAUUGAGAUAAAAGUACACCAUCUGUUCUACUCACUUCUGCCAACUGUAUAUCAGUCAAGUUUUUGAUGAUGUCUCCUGGAAAUGUGACAUGGACUGACUUCAGGGGAAGACUCCAUCCAUCCUGUGUGCUCAGCCCCCAAAGCAGACACACAAACAAAGCACAGGAUCUCAUUAUGGAGCCUGCCUGUUAGCAAACAGGAUAAAAAAGUAAUCACCCAGUGAAAAAGUUUUGUAAAAGUGGAAUCCGUCUUUGUUUUGAGCGGUGUCUCUUGUUGUCUUCUUGCAAUAUGUGUCUUUGCUAAGCAUUGUGGUCCUUUUUAUGCAACUUGAUGUCUUAGUCACUUAACCUCAUACCCGCCCUCUACCAACCUCAACCCUCCCACUCUCAUCACAACAAGUAGUAUCCGUUUAAUGGAUUCAGGGGGUUUCCAAAAUAUUCCCAGUUUGACCCAACAACAAAUGAGUGGUCUAAAUAAAAUAUGUGAGUGCAUAUGUAAAUGUGGAAAAUGAUUGGCUGCAUUCAUGUAAGUUGUGCAUACUACCUAUGUCAUGUAUUUUUGUAUACAGAAGUGUAUAAGAGUAAGUGUGUAAGUGUGUAAGUGUGUAAGAGAAGUGUACAGUUGACAUUGUCUGAACAAUAUGUAAACGUAACUUGUUAGUAAUGCAAAUAAAUAAAAAGAUAUCCGGUUUCCUCCCACAUUCCAAAGACAGGUUAAUUGCCGACUCCAAAUAGUCGAUAGGUGUGAAUGUAAGUGUGAAUGGUUGUUUGUCUGUAUGUGCCCUGUCCAGGGUGUACGCCGCCUCUCGCCCGAAGACAACUGAGAUAUGCUCCAGGAAGAAUGGUUGGAUGGAUGGAUAAACAUUAUAAGAGCGGCGAUUUCGCCCACUGCAGAGUGCAUACAAAGACAUCAGAAUCGGGUCCAGAAGCAGAGACUGUACAGUCCGAAGUUUCUCAAGAGAAGAGGUUACGUCUCUCAAUGGUGAAAAGUGAGAAGACUGACCUGACUUGGGUCGUUUGCCUUUUCCUGGUGCAUUUUUGGGAUUGUCAAGGACUUGCAGAUGCAGUAUUUUCUCACACUAAAUGGAUGCUUCAACUCCAAAUCCCUUUCAUAAGGCUCUAAAUAAAUACUAGAACUGCACUUGGAAGAGUGGAAACUUCCUCCAAAAUAGAAGGAUUGUGUUCUGCAUAAAAGUGCAUCCAUGAAGAAGAAUGAUCUGAAAACACUUUGGGUAAUGAUGCUUUCAUCAAAACUCAAGAGUGGUGUCCAUAAACAGGGAACUCUGUUUAGCAGGGCCAAUCAGCAACAUCACAGUAUUGUCAGGGUUCAUAAAUAAAAAGCAAAUCAACCGCCUCCAUCCAACCCUGUCUUCUGCAUCUGUCUCCCUCACACCGACUACCCUCACGUCCUCCUUCAAGGCAUCCAUAAACCUCUUCUCUGGUCUUCCUCUACGUCUUCUAUACCUGGCAGCUCUAAACGAAGCAUCCUUUUACCAAUAUAUUCACUAUCUCUCCUCUGGACACGUCCGAACCAUCACUGUCUGGCCUCUCUGACUUUAUCUCCGAGUCAAAUGAAAGCAAUUCAUAAUAUUUAAGAUAGGGUUAGGGUUAAAGUUAGAGUAUGAACCAAGUACAUUUCAUCAUU